AAUCCAUGUUGUGGAAACUUCUGCUGGAGAUCCUUCACUCAUUCCCAUGUCUCAAGUAAUGAUUCUAGCUUUAUCUGAACAUAUGAAGAGAUCUCAUUUCGAAGCUU